GAUGAACGCUGGCGGCGUGCCUAAUACAUGCAAGUCGAGCGAACAGACGAGGAGCUUGCUCCUCUGACGUUAGCGGAGGACGGGUGAGUAACACGUGGAUAACCUACCUAUAAGACUGGGAUAACUUCGGGAAACCGGAGCUAAUACCGGAUAAUCUAUUGAACCGCAUGGUUCAAUAGUGAAAGACGGUUUUGCUGUCACUUAUAGAUGGAUCCGCGCCGCAUUAGCUAGUUGGUAAGGUAACGGCUUACCACGGCGACUAUGCGUAGCCGACCUGAGAGGGUGGUCGCCCGCACGGGAACGGAGACACGGUCCAGACGCCUAAGGGAGGCAGCAGUAGGGAAUCUUCCGCAAUGGGCGAAAGCCUGACGGAGCAGCGCGGCGUGAGUGAUGAAGGUCUUCGGAUCGUAAAACUCUGUUAUUAGGGAAGAACAAAUGUGUAAGUAACUAUGCACGUCUUGACGGUACCUAAUCAGAAAGCCACGGCUAACUACGUG
rnacentral:rRNA from 1 species